rnacentral:sRNA from 1 species
AGAAGAAGAACAACAAGA